UUUUAGUUACUCUUAUGCAAAUCCAUAACUCCUAAUCUUGAAGGCAGUCCAAAUGAAAAGCGUGCUUAUUUGGCUCUUAGAUUUCGUCUCCUUUCUUACAUUUCCUUCAAUUCUCUCCCCUUUACAAUAAUCGAUGAAGGUAUUGUAAACUAGGAAGGCGCUAUUUGUGUUCGUGGUGUUAUUGUGAAGAAAGAGUCGCUCCUAGGGCUAGUUACCAUCUAUCUGCUCAUCCAGUUUUAUGGACCGGCUUUGGCUUUCCCAAAAUUCACCCUUACACGAAGCAAAACAGUACAAGAGUGGUCUCCCUUUCACACGCAAUCUAGCGCAACUCAACCUGCUGUAGGGGACGACGACAAGGGCGCGCAACGAUGACCGAGGGCGACGGUCUGUGACUCGACGGCGAGCGGUUCAAAGGAAGGCCAAUGCGGGGUAGCAGAAGAACAAGGGUGGAACCCUACUCCCCGAACCAGUGAGUUUUCUUCAUUCUCGCACACCAAACCACUGUUUAAAAAAUAUUUCCUUUAAUCUCGCCGUUGCAAAAUCGUGAGUUCAA